rnacentral:rRNA from 1 species
AAUAUUCGUCAAUGGAGGCAACUCUGAUUCAGCCAUCCCGCGUGUGCGAUGAAGUCCUUCGGGGUUUAAAGCAGUUUUUGCAGGGUCGAACAGUCUCUGGUUAAUACCUGAAGCUGCUGACGGUACCUGCAGAAUAAUCACCGGCUAACUACGUGCCAGCAGCCGAGGUAAUACGUAGGGUGCAAGCGUUAAGCUUAAUUACUGGGCGUAAAGCGUGCGCAGGCGGUUCGGCAAGAAGGAUGUGAAAUCCCAGGGCUCAACCUUGGAACUGCAUUUUUAACUGCCGAGCUAGAGUAUGUCAGAGGGGGGUAGAAUUCCACGUGUAGCAGUGAAAUGCGUAGAUAUGUGGAGGAAUACCGAUGGCGAAGGCAGCCCCCUGGGAUAAUACUGACGCUCAGACACGAAAGCGUGGGGAGCAAACA